CUCUGGAACCCUAAUUUUCCCCUUAAAAAUAAUCACCUCAGCAAACUAUUACUCCCUCAGCUCUGCGCGAAACCCUAAACCAAUGCCUCCCAAAUCAGCUAAAUCCAAGGUCCCUCCUUCCUUUCUCAUUUUCAUCUGAUCCAAACAAGAAACAACGAACACGCCUUCAACCUUCUUCUUCAAACCAGAAAAUGAUACCACUUUUUUCAACGAGGCAAGUGGGUGUUCCGGAUCCAUCAUCGAAGCUGGAAAUACAUAUUUCCAGGAUUUUAGGCAGUUUGGGGGUGGGAGUUGUUUUGAAGCUUUUGCUGGGACUUACAAAUUAUCGUGCUUUCAAAAUGUUGCUUUAGCCCCUAUCCAUGGUGGCCGACCAAGAUUUCGCACAUCACUAGGAAAAUGCAAAGCAAAUUGUCCCUCCCUCUUUUUACAAAGAAAUUGAAGCUUGGAAAGACAUUGAAACUGACAGUGAACAGUGUAGCUUUCAAUCUUGAAGAAAGAAUGAUGGUGAAAGGACUGACUGACUCAUCCAACACUUUUAGUCAUCAGACCCAUUCCAUUACACUUUGACUCCCUGACCUCAGAGCUUUCUUUGAAAGAUACGAAAGUAUUUGGCAUCGUUUGAAGCAAAUGGGGUUUCAGUCACUGUGCAUGAAUGCAGUUUGCUAAAAAGCUUUUCCACUUCAUUGACAAUAGCAAACCUGUAUGCAGUUAUAUGUCCCUGUGAGUACUUCCAGUUCCAGAAAAUCCGCGAUUCUUUUUCCAGUUUUAGGGAAAUAUAGCUAUCUGUACACGACCAAGAUACCAGCCAGUUCCAUAGACUCUGCAUUCUGCUGCCCUUGUCCACCAUGGAUAUUUGUUGACAGAUCAUGAAGAACAAUAUUUCCCAUGGAAACAUAGAAGAAGUUUAAUCAAUUUGCAAUAUGCACAAACAAGAAUCGAAUAUCAAAAAAUUCGAACAUAGAAGAAGUUUAAUCAAUUUGCUUGCAAAAACUCUUCAAGGUGUAACUCUUUUCAUCUUCUUAAUUAAUUGUUAAUCUUCCCAAUGGCCGCCUACCAAAGAAAACGACGUUUUGCCAAUCAAACUAGGAGGAAUUGAGGUAUCAACUAUUUGCAGUUGUGAAACAUUCCGGAGUCAGACCUACUUCUGGACACUAUGUUUGCUACAUUCGAUCCUCUCCUAAUAUGUGGCAUAAGAUGAAUGAUUCAAGGAGGUUCACGAUGGCAACACCAAAACUUGAAUUAUUUUGGCUCCUCCUGCAACUCCUGUGUGACAGCCACCUUCGAUUCGCUCUUCAGCUUCGAAUAUGGGACAUCACAUUAAGUUGUCAAAGCGGUUCAUGAAGGCAACACCAAAACUUGCAUUAUUUUGGCUCCUCCUGCAACUCUUGUAUGACAGCCACUUUCGACCCAAUUGUCAGAUCCGAAUGUAGGACAUUAUGUUACGUUGCCAAAGCAACUACAAUUGUGACUAUCACUUAACAAAAAUCAUCCAAGGAAAUUUAGGUUCGAAAAUGUAUUCAAUGCAAACUUAGGGAUACCUGACUCAUGCUUCCUAUUAGAGUCCACACUUUAGCUAGCUACAUAUCAUAACGAACUAUAGAUAGCUGAUAAGCUAGCUAGCGAGCCUCAUUUGGCUUACGAGCCUUUGGCAAGUCAAUUAGCGAACCACUAGUUGAUUUGUGAACCUCAAAUCAGUGGACCUCAGCACCACACAUUGGUGAUUGAUCUUUA